rnacentral:rRNA from 1 species
AGAAUCAACGCUGGCGGCGUGCCUAACACAUGCAAGUCGAACGAGAAAGUGGAGCAAUCCAUGAGUAAAGUGGCGCACGGGUGAGUAACACGUGACUAACCUACCUUUUAGUGGGGGAUAACCUAGGGAAACCUGGGCUAAUACCGCAUAAUACCUACGGGUCAAAGCAGCAAUGCGCUGGAAGAGGGGGUCGCGGCCGAUUAGCUAGUUGGCGGGGUAAUGGCCCACCAAGGCAGUGAUCGGUAUCCGGCCUGAGAGGGCGCACGGACACACUGGAACUGAAAUACGGUCCAGACUCCUACGGGAGGCAGCAGUGGGAAUUUGCGCAAUGGGGGAAACCCUGACGCAGCAACGCCGCGUGGAGGAUGAAGACCCUUGGGUCGUAAACUCCUUUCGAUCGGGACGAUAAUGACGGUACCGGAAGAAGAAGCCCGGCUAACUUCGCGCCAGCAGCCGC